rnacentral:rRNA from 1 species
GGUUAGUCGGGACCUAAGCCGAGGCCGAAAGGCGUAGGUGAUGGACAACUGGUUGAUAUUCCAGUACCACUACCAUCGUUAUUAUCGAUGGCGUGACGCAGGAGGAUAGUGUGUGCUAGCUAUUGGAUGCUAGUCUAAGCGUUUAGGCAGUGAGAGUAGGCAAAUCCGCUCUCAUAAUGCUGAGGCGUGAUGGGGAAGGUUCCACGGAACCGAAGUACAUGAUUCCACGCUGCCAAGAAAAGCGUCUAGAGAGAGAAGUAGUGCCCGUACCGCAAACCGACACAGGUAGGUGAGGAGAGAAUCCUAAGGCCGGCGGAAGAAUUACAGUUAAGGAACUCGGCAAAUUGACCCCGUAAGUUCGCGAGAAGGGGUGCCUACGAGAGUAGGCCGCAGAGAAUAGGCCCAAGCAACUGUUUAGCAAAAACACAGGUCUCUGCUAAAGCGUAAGCUGAUGUAUAGGGGCUGACGCCUGCCCGGUGCUGGAAGGUUAAGGGGAACACUUAGCGCAAGCGAAGGUGUGAACUUAAGCCCCAGUAAACGGCGGCCGUAACUAUAACGGUCCUAAGGUAGCGAAAUUCCUUGUCAGGUAAGUUCUGACCCGCACGAAUGGCGUAAUGACUUGGGCACUGUCUCAACUGUAAAUCCGGCGAAGUUGUAGUGCGAGUGAAGAUGCUCGCUACCCGCGAUUGGACGGAAAGACCCCGUAGAGCUUUACUGUAGCUUAGCAUUGAGUUUUGGUAUUGUCUGUACAGGAUAGGUGGGAGACUAGGAAACCAGGGCGUCAGCCUUGGUGGAGUCAACCUUGGGAUACCACCCUGACAGUACUGAAAUUCUAACUGGCGGCCAUGAAUCUGGUCACAGGACAUUGUUAGGUGGGCAGUUUGACUGGGGCGGUCGCCUCCUAAAAAGUAACGGAGGCGCCCAAAGGUUCCCUCAGAACGGUCGGAAAUCGUUCGAAGAGUGCAAAGGCAGAAGGGAGCCUGACUGCGACACCCACAAGUGGAGCAGGGACGAAAGUCGGGCUUAGUGAUCCGGUGGUACCUCGUGGGAGGGCCAUCGCUCAACGGAUAAAAGCUACCUCGGGGAUAACAGGCUGAUCUCCCCCAAGAGUCCACAUCGACGGGGAGGUUUGGCACCUCGAUGUCGGCUCGUCGCAUCCUGGGGCUGAAGUAGGUCCCAAGGGUUGGGCUGUUCGCCCAUUAAAGCGGCACGCGAGCUGGGUUCAGAACGUCGUGAGACAGUUCGGUCCCUAUCCGUCGCGGGCGUAGGAAAUUUGAGAGGAGCUGUCCUUAGUACGAGAGGACCGGGAUGGACUGACCUCUGGUGUACCAGUUGUUCCGCCAGGAGCACAGCUGGGUAGCUAAGUCGGGAAUGGAUAAACGCUGAAAGCAUCUAAGCGUGAAGCCAACCUCAAGAUGAGAUUUCCCAUAGCGUAAGCUAGUAAGAUCCCUUGAAGAACACAAGGUUGAUAGGUCGGGGGUGUAAGCAUGGUAACAUGUUCAGCUGACCGAUACUAAUAGAUCGAGGGCUUGACCA